CUUUCCUUUGACACAGCUGGUGUCCUCUUUUGUAAGUCCAUGUUCAGAUGGCAAUCCUUAACCCCUAGUUAGUCGAACUACGACAACUCUGAUUCUCAUAUUCAGAUGAGAUACGUAGGCACGAGACGCGAUGUCUUGCCGAGUUUUGACUGACGACUAACAACUAAUCCUUACUUGCUUUUGCCCUUGUUGCGAUUCUUUUCUCUCGCCCUCGUUGCGAUCGAGACCUUCU
rnacentral:lncRNA from 1 species